GCAUUUGUGGUUCAGUGGCAUAAUUCUUGCCUGCCAUGUGGGAGGCCUAGAUUUGAUUCCUAGCCAAUGCA